rnacentral:rRNA from 1 species
UAGGGUGAAAACGUGGGGGGGCGCACCGGAUUUGAUACCCCGGUAGUUCACGCGUUAAACGAUGAGUGCUAAUGAUAUGGUGUUUCCGCGCCGUUAGUUCUGCAGCUAACGCAUUAAGCACUCCGCCCUGGGGAGUACGGUCGCAAGACUGAAACUCAAAGGAAUUGACGGGGGCCCGCACAAGCGGUGGAGCAUGUGGUUUAAUUUGAAGCAACGCGAAGAACCUUACCAGGUCUUGACAUCCUUUGACAAUCCUAGAGAUAGGACGUUCCCUUCGGGGGCAGAGUGACAGGUGGUGCAUGGUUGUCGUCAGCUCGUGUUGUGAGAUGUUGGGUUAAGUCCCGCAACGAGCGCAACCCUUGAUCUUAGUUGCCAGCAUUCAGUUGGGCAAUUUAAAGGGACUGCCGGUGACAAACCGGGGGAAAGGGGGGGAGGAGUCAAAUCAUCAUGCCCCCUUUGACCUGGGGUACACACGUGGUACAAUGGACAGAACAAAGGGGAAGGAAACCGCGGGGUUAAACCAAUCCCACAAAUCUGUUUUCAGUUCGGAUCGCAGUUUGCAAAUUGGAUGCGUGAAGCUGGAAUCGCUAGUAAUCGCGGAUCAGCAUGCCGCGGUGAAUACGUUCCCGGGCCUUGUACACACCGCCCGUCACACCCCGAGAGUUUGUAACACCCGAAGUCGGUUAGGUAACCUCUAGGAACCAGCCGCCGAAGUGGUUACAAAGG